AUAUCUCUCCGUACGGGAAGGAUGAGAAGCUUCGACUAAGGUUCGAUUCGAGCGCAGCGAGAAAGCGUUGCCGCAGGCAACGACCCGAAGGGCGA
rnacentral:sRNA from 2 species